rnacentral:rRNA from 1 species
CCUACGGGUGGCAGCAGUGGGGAAUAUUGCACAAUGGGCGCAAGCCUGAUGCAGCCAUGCCGCGUGUGUGAAGAAGGCCUUCGGGUUGUAAAGCACUUUCAGCGGGGAGGAAGGCGUUAAGGUUAAUAACCUUGUCGAUUGACGUUACCCGCAGAAGAAGCACCGGCUAACUCCGUGCCUGCAGCCGCGGUAAUACGGAGGGUGCAAGCGUUAAUCGGAAUUACCGGGCGUAAAGCGCACGCAGGCGGUCUGUCAAGUCGGAUGUGAAAUCCCCGGGCUCAACCUGGGAACUGCAUUCGAAACUGGCAGGCUAGAGUCUUGUAGAGGGGGGUAGAAUUCCAGGGGUAGCGGUGAAAUGCGUAGAGAUCUGGAGGAAUACCGGUGGCGAAGGCGGCCCCCUGGACAAAGACGGACGCUCAGGUGCGAAAGCGUGGGGAGCAAACAGGAUUAGAGACCCGAUGUAGUC